GAUGAACGCUGGCGGCGUGCCUAAUACAUGCAAGUCGAGCGAACGGACGAGAAGCUUGCUUCUCUGAUGUUAGCGGCGGACGGGUGAGUAACACGUGGAUAACCUACCUAUAAGACUGGGAUAACUUCGGGAAACCGGAGCUAAUACCGGAUGAUAUUUUGAACCGCAUGGUUCAAAAGUGAAAGACGGUCUUGCUGUCACUUAUAGAUGGAUCCGCGCUGCAUUAGCUAGUUGGUAAGGUAACGGCUUACCAAGGCAACGAUGCAUAGCCGACCUGAGAGGGGGCGCGGCCACACUGGAACUGGGACACGGUCCAGACUCCUACGGGAGGCAGCAGUAGGGAAUCUUCCGCAAGGGGCGAAAGCCUGACGGAGCAACGCCGCGUGAGUGAUGAAGGUCUUCGGUUCGUAAAACUCUUUUAUUAGGGAAAAACAUAUGUGUAAGUAACUGUGCACAUUUUGACGGUACCUAAUCAAAAAGCCACGGCUAACUACGU
rnacentral:rRNA from 1 species